rnacentral:misc_RNA from 1 species
AAGUCGUAACAAGGUCUCCGUAGGUGAACCUGCGGAGGGAUCAUUAUAUGACGCCCAGGCUUGUAUAGCUGGGGACUGCUUAACCCUUUGUUUUCCGACUCUGUUGCCUCCGGGGCGACCCUGCCUUCGGGCGGGGGCUCCGGGUGGACACUUCAAACUCUUGCGUAACUUUGCAGUCUGAGUAAACUUAAUUAAUAAAUUAAAACUUUUAACAACGGAUCUCUUGGUUCUG